UAUACAGGGAGUACCAGUACCAGAUCAAUGUGGAGCUAUAUACAGGAAGUACCAGAUCAAUGUGGAGCUGUAUACAGGAAGUACCAGAUCAAUGUGGAGCUAUAUACAGGAAGUACCAGAUCAAUGUGGAGCUGUAUACAGGAAGUACCAGAUCAAUGUGGCGCUAUAUACAGGAAGUACCAGAUCAAUGUGGAGCUAUAUACAGGGAGUACCAGUACCAGAUCAAUGUGGAGCUGUCUUUCACCGGCCAGUACAUCCACCCUUAAGCCGGAUGACGCUGGGCCAAUAGUGCGUCGCCUCACAGGUCUCCCGGUCGCAGGGCCAUGCAGUCGUUGGUGAACAGGGAGUACAGGAGGGAACUGAGGGGCCCCUGGGUUGAGGAUCUGUGUGGCGGAUGUGUUGUUGCCUUUCCUCACCAUAUGGGGGCGGCCCAUCAGGAAGUCCAGGAUCUUGUCCAGAUGGGAGAGGGCAGUGGGGAGCCUCUUGUCCAGAUUGGAGAGGGCAGUGGGGAGCCUCUUGUCCAGAUUGGAGAGGGCAGUGGGGAGCCUCUUGUCCAGAUGGGAGAGGGCAGUGGGGAGCCUCUAGUCCAGAUGGGAGAGGGCAGUGGGGAGCCUCUUGUCCAGAUGGGAGAGGGCAGUGGGGAGCCUCUAGUGUAGAUGUGUGUCAUGACCUGCCUUUCAAAGCACUCCAUCAUUACAGAUGUGAGUGCUACAGGGCGAUAGUCAAUUAGUCAGGUUACCUUGGAGCUCUUGGGAACAAGGGUUGUCUCUGAUAGCUAGGGGGUGGUUUGGUGCUGUGGACUAAAACACCUGUGCAAGGGUUAAGGGUUGUCUCUCUGCUCAUGGUACAUUCCUUAGAUAAGAUCCCCUCAGAGGUUCCUGAUAACAGCUCUUUUCUCCUAGUCUUCUCCUGAUAACAGCUCUAAUACUGGAGUCUGACUGGAGGUCACACGUUAUGCAAUUAUGUAUUUUGGUUAGGUCAGGGUGUGACAUGGGUGAUGUAUGUGUUGUUGUACUGUCUAGGGGUUUUGUAGGUGUCACAAAUAUCACCGGAGGUGGCUCCCCUUCCUGCUCGGGUGGCGCUCGGCGGUCUAUUAGCUGCCACUGAAGGUGGCUCCCCUUCCUGCUCGGGUGGCGCUCGGCGGUCUAUUAGCUGCCACUGAAGGUGGCUCCCCUUCCUGCUCGGCGGUCGUCGUGGCCGGUCUAUUAGCUGCCACUGAAGGUGGCUCCCCUUCCUGCUCGGGUGGCGCUCGCCGGUCUAUUAGCUGCC
ensembl:lncRNA